GUAGCUCAGUGGUAGAGUGCUUGCCUUGCAUGCAUGAGGCCCUGAGUUUGAUUCCUCAGC
rnacentral:tRNA from 1 species